rnacentral:rRNA from 1 species
GUGCCAGCAGCCGCGGUAAUACGGAGGGUGCGAGCGUUAAUCGGAAUUACUGGGCGUAAAGCGCAUGCAGGUGGUUAGUUAAGUCAGGUGUGAAAGCCGGGGGCUCAACCUCGGAAUUGCAUUUGAAACUGGCUGACUAGAGUACUGUAGAGGGGGGUAGAAUUUCAGGUGUAGCCGUGAAAUGCGUAGAGAUCUGAAGGAAUACCGGUGGCGAAGGUGGCCCCCUGGACAGAUACUGACACUCAGGUGCGAAAGCGUGGGGAGCA